rnacentral:rRNA from 1 species
AUACUGCAGGUCUUGAGUCAUGGUGGGGUUGCCGGAACAUGUGGUGUAGCGGUGAAAUGCAUAGAUAUCACAUAGAACACCGAUCGCGAAGGCAGGUGACCAACCAUGUACUGACGCUGAUGGACGAAAGCGUGGGUAGCGAACGGGAUUAGAUACCCCGGUAGUCCACGCCGUAAACGAUGGAUACUAGCUGUGGGGACUUCGGUCUCCGUGGCCAAGCGAAAGUGAUAAGUAUCCCACCUGGGGAGUACGUUCGCAAGAAUGAAACUCAAAGGAAUUGACGGGGGCCCGCACAAGCGGUGGAGCAUGUGGUUUAAUUCGAUGAUACGCGAGGAACCUUACCAGGGCUUAAAUGCAGGCUGCAUGGGGUAGAGAUACCCCUUUCUUCGGACCGCCUGCAAGGUGCUGCAUGGUUGUCGUCAGCUCGUGCCGUGAGGUGUCAGGUUAAGUCCUAUAACGAGCGCAACCCCUACCGUUAGUUGCCAGCAUGUCAAGAUGGGGACUCUAACGGGACUGCCGGUGCAAACCGUGAGGAAGGUGGGGACGACGUCAAAUCAUCACGGCCCUUACGUCCUGGGCUACACACGUGCUACAAUGGCCGGUACAGAGGGAAGCCACCCCGCAAGGGGGCGCGGAUCUACAAAACCGGUCACAGUUCGGAUCGGGGUCUGCAACUCGACCCCGUGAAGCUGGAAUCGCUAGUAAUCGGAUAUCAGCCAUGAUCCGGUGAAUACGUUCCCGGGCCUUGUACACACCGCCCGUCAAGCCAUGGAAGCCGGGAGUGCCUGAAGUCCGUCACCGAGAGGAGC